rfam:Mucilaginibacter paludis DSM 18603 chromosome, whole genome shotgun sequence.
GAAAGCCGUAUGCGGGAAAACCGCACGUACGGAUUGACGAGGGAGUCGGGAAAGUGCUUUACUUUCCCGCUCUACUCUAC